GGGGUUGAGGCUCAGAGGUAGAGUGCUUGCCUAGCAUGCAUGAGGCACUGGGUUUGAUCCUCAGCACUACA
rnacentral:tRNA from 1 species